rfam:Rhizobium sp. Leaf453 contig_2, whole genome shotgun sequence.
CAACGGCACCUGAACACGCCGUCGUCUGGUCAAAGGCCUGUCCCCCGCCGAAGCCAGAUGUGAGGACAAAGGCCUAUCCCCCCUCUCCGGGCCUUUGUCCAAUUCUCACAAGACCGCCGUGGCUCCGCCUCCGCCACGGCGGUUUUUG